UACGUAGGGUGCGAGCGUUGUCCGGAAUUAUUGGGCGUAAAGAGCUUGUAGGCGGUCUGUCGCGUCUGCUGUGAAAAUCCGGGGCUCAACCCCGGACUUGCAGUGGGUACGGGCAGACUAGAGUGUGGUAGGGGAGACUGGAAUUCCUGGUGUAGCGGUGAAAUGCGUAGAGAUCGGCAGGAACACCCAGGGGGAAACCAGCCGACUGGGCAUCUGCUGACGCUGAGGUGCGAGAGCGUGGGGAGCGAACCGG
rnacentral:rRNA from 1 species